rnacentral:pre_miRNA from 1 species
UGGAAGACUAGUGAUUUUGUUGUUGUAAUCAAAAGAAAACAUAAAAUCACUGUCUGCCACUG